rnacentral:lncRNA from 1 species
GCAAGAUAGAUCCUAGGUAGCGAAAACGGUCGAAAUGUGGGAUAAGACAAUAUUAUAAAAUACACAAGUAGAUAAAUUAAAAUAUUGAUGCGGGUGGAAUGCAUAUAAAUAAAUAAAAAUAUUGUCACCUGAUCCGCUAAACUUGUCCCAUUACGUAGAUUACCGGAAGCAUGAGAGAUGGCGUUUUUCCAACAAGUAAACGAUGCAUUGAGUUUUUUCCAACGACCUUGAAGACCUUGACUACUUCUGGCGU